rnacentral:rRNA from 1 species
AACGAACGCUGGCGGCAGGCCUAACACAUGCAAGUCGAACGCUCCGCAAGGGGAGUGGCGCACGGGUGAGUAACACGUGGGAACCUACCUUCUGGUACGGAACAACCAAGGGAAACUUUGGCUAAGACCGUAUACGACCUCCGGGUGAAAGAUUGAUCGCCGGAAGAGGGGCCCACGUCCGAUUAGGUAGUUGGUGAGGUAACGGCUCACCAAGCCUUCGAUCGGUAGCUGGUCUGAGAGGAUGACCAGCCACACUGGGACUGAGACACGGCCCAGACUCCUACGGGAGGCAGCAGUGGGGAAUAUUGGACAAUGGGCGCAAGCCUGAUCCAGCCAUGCCGCGUGAGUGAUGAAGGCCUUCGGUUG